CGCUGGCGGCGUGCUUAACACAUGCAAGUCGAACGGUGAUGGUGGGAGCUUGCUCCUACCGGAUCAGUGGCGAACGGGUGAGUAACACGUGAGUAACCUGCCCCAGACUCUGGAAUAACCCCGGGAAACCGGAGCUAAUACCGGAUACGAGACGAAGCUGCAUGGCUAUCGUCUGGAAAGUUUUUCGGUCUGGGAUGGACUCGCGGCCUAUCAGCUUGUUGGUGAGGUAAUGGCUCACCAAGGCGACGACGGGUAGCCGGCCUGAGAGGGCGACCGGCCACACUGGGACUGAGACACGGCCCAGACUCCUACGGGAGGCAGCAGUGGGGAAUAUUGCACAAUGGGCGAAAGCCUGAUGCAGCGACGCCGCGUGAGGGAUGACGGCCUUCGGGUUGUAAACCUCUUUCAGCAGGGAAGAAGCGAAAGUGACGGUACCUGCAGAAGAAGCACCGGCUAACUACGUGCCAGCAGCCGCGGUAAUACGUAGGGUGCGAGCGUUGUCCGGAAUUAUUGGGCGUAAAGAGCUUGUAGGCGGUUUGUCGCGUCUGCCGUGAAAAUUCGGGGCUCAACCCCGAACUUGCGGUGGGUACGGGCAGACUAGAGUGUGGUAGGGGAGACUG
rnacentral:rRNA from 1 species